AUUAUGGACAAGUCACAAUACAUAGAACUAUCUAAUGGAAUUCUCAAUGAUCUUGACUAUUACAGAAGACUACCUAGAGACCCAACAACUACUAUACAAACUAAAGUGUUUCUAGAGGCAGAUAUUACGUAGAAGAUUCUUUCUCUUUUUCCACCUUCAUUAGUGAAUUCCAAUUGCCAGAAGAUUAUGUCCUCAUCAGCCUUGAUGUAGUAUCCCUCUUUACCAAUAUUUCAUUAGAAUUAGCUCUGUCUGCAAUUCAACACAGAUGGGAAUCAAUCAGUAGCCACACCACAAUACCUAAGGAAGACUUCAUCAACAUCAUCAGAUUUCUUUUCAACUCCAACUAUUUCAUCUUCCAAGAGGUAGUGAUGGAUUUCCUCCUAGAUGGCAUCCUAACAGAUAUCCCCUUUGAGAUGCCUU